UACGGAGGGGGCUAGCGUUGUUCGGAAUUACUGGGCGUAAAGCGCGCGUAGGCGGUUUCUCAAGUCGGGCGUGAAAGCCCGGGGCUUAACCCCGGAACUGCGUUCGAGACUGAGUGACUCGAGUCCGGGAGAGGGUAGCGGAAUUCCCAGUGUAGAGGUGAAAUUCGUAGAUAUUGGGAAGAACACCGGUGGCGAAGGCGGCUACCUGGCCCGGUACUGACGCUGAGGCGCGACAGCGUGGGGAGCAAACAGG
rnacentral:rRNA from 1 species